rnacentral:rRNA from 1 species
GACGAACGCUGGCGGCGUGCUUAACACAUGCAAGUCGAACGGAAAGGCCCUGCUUUUGUGGGGUGCUCGAGUGGCGAACGGGUGAGUAACACGUGAGUAACCUGCCCUUGACUGUGGGAUAAAUUACGGAAACUGGGGCUAAUACCGGAUAGGAGCUCCUGAUGCAUGGUGGGGGUUGGAAAGUUUCGGCGGUUGGGGAUGGACUCGCGGUGUAUCAGCUUGUUGGUGGGGUAGUGGCUUACCAAGGCUUUGACGGGUAGCCGGCCUGAGAGGGUGACCGGCCACGUUGGGACUGAGAUACAGCCCAGACUCCUACGGGAGGCAGCAGUGGGGAAUAUUGCACAAUGGGCGGAAGCCUGAUGCAGCAACGCCGCGUGCGGGAUGACGGCCUUCGGGUUGUAAACCGCUUUCGCCUGUGACGAAGCGUGAGUGACGGUAAUGGGUAAAGAAGCACCGGCUAACUAAGU